rfam:Lupinus angustifolius cultivar Tanjil chromosome LG20, whole genome shotgun sequence.
UACAUGGUUGAUCCUGCUAGUAGUCAUAUGCUUGUCUCGAAGAUUAAGCCAUGCAUGUGUAAGUAUGAACUAAUUCAGACUCUGAAACUGCGAAUGGCUCAUUCAAUCAGUUAUAAUUUGUUAGAUGGUAUCUACUACUCGGAUAACCAUAAUAAUUCUAGAGCUAAUACGUGCAACAAACCCCAACUUCUGGAAGGGAUGCAUUUAUUAGAUAAAAGGUCGACACAGGCUCUGCUUGUUGCUUUAAUGAUUCAUGAUAACUCGUCGGAUUGAACGACCUUUAUGCCGAUGAAGCAUCAUUCAAAUUUUUGCCUUAUCAAAUUUCGAUGGUAGGAUAGUGGCCUACCAUGGUGGUGACGGGUGACGGAGAAUUAGGGUCCGGUUCCAUAUAGGGAGCCUAAGAAACGGUUACCACAUCCAAGGAAGGCAGCAAGCACGCAAAUUACCCAAUCCUCACACGGGGAGGUAGUGACAAUAAAUAACAAUAUCGGGCUCAUUGAGUCCGGUAAUUGAAAUGAUUACAAUCUAAAUACCUUAACGAGGAUCCAUUGGAGGGCUAGUCUGGUGCUAGCAGCCGCGGUAAUUCCAGCUCCAAUAGCGUAUAUUUAAGUUGUUAUAGUUAGAAAGCUGGUAGUUGGACCUUUGGUUGGGUCGAUCGGUCCACCAUUGGUGUGCACUAGUCGGCUCAUCCAUUCUACCAGCAAUACGCUCCUGGCCUUAACUGGUCGGGUCGUGUCUCCAACGUUGUUACUUUGAAGAAAUUAGAGUGCUCAAAGCAAGCCUAUGCUCAGGAUACAUUAGCAUGGGAUAACACCACAAGAUUCUGAUCCUAUUGUGUUGGCCUUCGGAUCAGAGUAAUGAUUAACAAGGACAGUCAUUGGGAUUCGUAUUUCAUAUUCAGAGGUGAAAUUCUUGGAUUUAUGAAAGACGAAAAACUACGAAAGCAUUUGCCAAGGAUGUUUUCAUUAAUCAAGAACGAAAGUUGGGGGCUCGAAGACAAUCAGAUACCAUCCUAGUUUCAACCAUAAACGAUGUCGGCCAGGGAUCAGCAGAUGUUGCUUUUAGGACUCCGCUGGCACCUUAUGAGAAAUCAAAGUCUUUGGGUUCCGGGGGGAGUAUGGUCGCAAGGCUGAAAUUUAAAGGAAUUGACGGAAGGGCACCACCAGGAGUGGAGCAUGCGGCUUAAUUUGACUCAACACCGGGAAACUUACAAGGUCCAGACAUAGUAAGGAUUAACAAACUGUGAGCUCUUUCUUGAUUCUAUGGGUGGUGGUGCAUGGCCGUUCUUAGUUGGUGGAGUGAUUUGUCUGGUUAAUUUUGUUAAAGAAUGAGACCUUAGCCUGCUAACAAGCUAUAUGGAGGUAACCCUCCAUUGCCAGAUUCAUAGAGCGACUAUGGCCACUUAGGCCACAGAAGUUUGAGACAAUAACAGGUCUAUGAUGCCCUUAGAUCUUAUGGGCCACACUCACACUACGCUGACGUAUUCAACGAGUCUAUAGCCUUGGCCGAUAGGCCCAGGUAAUCUUUGAAAUUCCAUCGUGAUGGGGAUAGAUCAUUGCAAUUGUUGGUCUUCAACGAGAAAUUCCAUCAGCUCACGUUGACUAUGUCCCUGCCCUUUGUACACACCACUUCUCGCUCCUACCGAUUGAGUGGUCCGAUGAAGUAUCUGGAUUGCGACGAUGUGGACGGUUCACUGUCGGCGACUUUGUGAGAAGUCCACUGAACCUUAUCAUUUAGAGGAAGGAGAAGUCGUAACUAGGUUUCCGUAGGUGAACCUGCGGAAGAAUCUUUG